rnacentral:rRNA from 1 species
UACAGGGGUGCAAACGUUGCUCGGAAUCAUUGGGCGUAAAGCGCACGUAGGCGGUCUGUUAUGUCGGAUGUGAAAGCCCUUGGCUCAACUGAGGAAGUGCAUCCGAAACUGGCAGGCUAGAGUACUAAAGAGGAUCGCGGAAUUCCCGGUGUAGAGGUGAAAUUCGUAGAUAUCGGGAGGAACACCGGUGGCGAAGGCGGCGAUCUGGGUAGAUACUGACGCUGAGGUGCGAAAGCGUGGGGAGCAAACAGG